CUCGCCCUGACCGUUGGAGCAGCAGAUCCAACGCCUGAAAGUGAGGCCAGGAGGUAGCAGGAGUGGCCUGGGCUUGCACCCUAGCACGCAGCAUGCGCCCCUCCCGCGCCCAAGAGGACUGCAGGGCACUUUGGCUGCAGAGAUAGAGACAGACUGGCUGGAGUGAUAGCAUGUGCAGGGAGACCUGUUUGGAGAUGAAAUGGUCAUCCAGGCUUUCCUCCAGUUGGAAGCUGAGCACCGAGAACUGGGGCCCUGUGUUCUCAUUCUUGCAACCCUAGGGGCCAGGCCACUUCUAGGCACAAGUGCAAGAUGAACUAACAGAUCCCUGUGCCAUGGACCACCUGGAUAGAAAAUCAUAAACCAGAGACUAGAAUAUUCCGGAAACUACGAUUAAGACAUGUCACAAAAAUGUCAUAAGAUGAUGAUUAAUCC